UGGGGAAUAUUGGACAAUGGACGCAAGUCUGAUCCAGCAAUGCCGCGUGAGUGAUGAAGGCCUUAGGGUUGUAAAGCUCUUUUUACCAGGGAUGAUAAUGACAGUACCUGGAGAAUAAGCUCCGGCUAACUCCGUGCCAGCAGCCGCGGUAAUACGGAGGGAGCUAGCGUUGUUCGGAAUUACUGGGCGUAAAGCGCACGUAGGCGGUUACUCAAGUCAGAGGUGAAAGCCCGGGGCUCAACCCCGGAACUGCCUUUGAAACUAGGUAACUAGAAUCCUGGAGAGGUGAGUGGAAUUCCGAGUGUAGAGGUGAAAUUCGUAGAUAUUCGGAAGAACACCAGUGGCGAAGGCGGCUCACUGGACAGGUAUUGACGCUGAGGUGCGAAAGCGUGGGGAGCAAACAGGAUUAGAUACCCUCGUAGUCCCUGAGCGGGCUGGCAAGGCGCAU
rnacentral:rRNA from 1 species